GGGGUGUUUAGAACACCAAGAACUGNUAAUUCUUAUUACUGAAGUUAAAAU
rnacentral:tRNA from 1 species